AGAGGUGGCAAGCGUUGUUCGGAAUUACUGGGCGUAAAGGGCGCGUAGGCGGUUCGUUAAGUCCUGUGUGAAAUCCCCCGGCUCAACUGGGGAACUGCACAGGAAACUAGCGGGCUUGAGUUCGGGAGAGGAUGGUGGAAUUCCCAGUGUAGCGGUGAAAUGCGUAGAUAUUGGGAGGAACACCGGUGGCGAAGGCGGCCAUCUGGACCGGUCCUGACGCUGAGGCGCGAAAGCGUGGGGAGCAAACAGGAUUAGAUACCCUGGUAGUCCACGCCCUAAACGAUGGGUACUCGGUGUCGCGGGUAUCGACCCCUGCGGUGCCUUAGCUAACGCGUUAAGUACCCCGCCUGGGGAGUACGGUCGCAAGGCUG
rnacentral:rRNA from 1 species